UGCUUCUUGCAAAAAAAGUACUCUGUCUGACGUUGAUCAACCUUAAACUUGGAUUUUUGGGACUGACUCCCAGCACCAGGCACCUUCUUAUUUUUUUUCUUUUUUUCUUUCUUAAAAGGAUGACAACUACCUGAAGAAGGUCCUCCCACUAGAUUCACUGUCUCCUUGUGGAGCUGGUGGUCUUUCUCAAAAUUCUGUAGCAACCCCAACAGAUCGUGGUAGUUGACUACAGGCUUCAUCAUUCUGAAAUGACUGAGGAAUAGUAGGUAGGACUUGAAAAGAGAGUUCAGGAUCGCAUCUUUUCCCAGCUAUUCAUGCAAAGGAAAGUCGAGUUUGUUCAAUUUUUCAAUCUGCUCGAUCAUGUACAAUACAUAAUCGGUAACAGAUACACCCUCCCUCAUUCGGACAUUGAAAAUGAUGCAACUAGUCUUGUGUCGCUCAACGUCAUCAGGAGUAUCAAAGGAAUCUCUCAACACUUUAAAGCAUUUUCUCUGGUUGAGCUUCUUCAAACUUUUUGCUGAACUCAUCAUUCAUGGAGGUCCACAUGAUGCAACGAACCAUGGUGCGAUCGUUAAGCCAUUUCAAAUAAGUAUCUCAGACCACUCCUCGGAUAUUAGGAGCAGACUCCUCAAGGCCGGAUCCGUUAUCACAUAAAGGAUCCGCUCAUGCUCCAGGACAAUCUUUAAUUUUCGAUACCAAUUAUCGAAAUUCGAUCCAAUAAGCUUCUCACUAUCCAACAGUGAUCAGAGUGACAAGUUUGAGGUCAUA
rnacentral:lncRNA from 1 species